GUGGUGCUGUGGUUUAAAAGAGGUAGAGCACUAGCCUUAUGUAGGGGUGGAGGGGGAAGAACCUCAGGUACAGCCCCCAGGCCCUGAGUUCAAGCCCCACAACCACUACCAACAACAAAAAAAUCAUGUUUGGAGGUACAGAAAAAUGUAUGGGAGGGGCUGGGAAU